GUGCGAGCAGAGGAUCAAUCAAACUUGGGCUGGAAUGAUUGUAGUGCAUCCAAUGGAUCUUGGAAAUCGUAGUUUACAUCUACAGCAGCAUAUGCUACAGCAGUGACAACGCCAAAGAAAAGGACUACAUUUCCCAGAAUGCACCUGCACCCACUCAUCUGCCCCCACUCUUCAGGUGCGACUGCUUGACCUGUGGGCUUGACGGGAAAAUUCAAAAUCGCGAACCGUUACAGCCUGGACGGUGUCUUUGUUUGUUUGCUUAUCAACAGUUAAGAGGUCAUGUACACUGUGGUCAACUUUGUGGACGCUGAAGAGGUUUCUGGGUAAACAUGAUAGAAAUAUAAUGAAGUAACAGUGGAAGCUAAAACAUCAGACUGAUCCAGACACUGAAGAAAUUGAUGUCACUGCAAUCUGGCCAAAAUGAUACAACUAUAUUGAAGUAGCCUACUGUAAUGAAGCUGCAGAACGUCACAGAGACUCUGAGGACAUCAACACAGAAAAUCUAGGCUCCAAAAGGAGAUGUCUGUGGGUGAGAUGAGGGUGCAUCAACGUUACCUUUGCUGACAAGUAUAUGCUUUUAGCAGUUAACUUAACUCAAACCAUUUAAGGAAAUCGGUUGCCUUAAACCAUUAAGUUUUAAAAAAACAUACAUUUGAGUACUGUGAACUUAAGUCUUGUGCAAUUAUGCACUUAUAUUUAGGUAGUGUGAACUUAAAUAUAAGUGCUUAACUGCAUGUGACUCAAUUUGUUUAAGUUCACAGUACUCAAAUCUAUGUGUUUUAAAACUUGAAUGGUUUAAUGCAACCUGUUUUCUUAAAUGUGAGAAAUUACAGUGAGAAAUGUUUGAAUAAUUCCAAGACAGAGCUCUGUGAUUGAUUCUACACUGCAAAAAAUCACUUUCUAACACUUUUUAUCUUGUUUUCAGUAGAAAAACUAAAAAUUCUUAAAUCAAGAUGUAUUUUCUUGAUAAGCAAAAUUACCUUAGCAAAUAUGUCUAGUUUUUAGACAAAAAUAUACAAUUUAAGAUAAUUUGUGCCUAAACAAGGAAAAAUAUCUAACAAUGGGGUGAGAAAGUUGUGUUUUAAUUAAGUUUUAAAGAUAAAAGAAAACUUAAGAUUUUUUUCUCACACUAUUCGCAGAUAUUUUUGCUUGUUUUAAGCACAAAUUCACUUAAUGUGUGUGUAUUUUAUUUAUUUAUUUUGUCUAAAACUAGGCUUAUUUGACUUGGGUCAUUUUGUUCCUCAAGAAAAAGCAUUUUAAUUUAAAUAAUAUUUCUACUGAAAACAAGACAAAAAUACUAUGUAAGACAGUCAUUUUUUUGCAGUGUAGGACUGAUUUCUUAAGAGCAAGAUCAAUAUAGUUGUUGUUCAUUUUAUUUAGAUAUUUACUACAUUACAGUGGCAGCUGGUGACUUUUUUGUGAGCACUCGAUGCGAAGUUUGUCACAACAUGUAUAUAGCCCGUCAUUUGUGUGGUUCCCAAUUUCAAAAUAUGUGUUCUGCGUGUAUGUGCAUCACGUGUUUUGACUAAACACGUGAUGCACUUGGUUUACAUGAAGCAACAAACACAUAUUUUAAAAACACAAGCAACACACAUGACACUCCGAACACUUAUUUUGAAUUUGCAACCCUCGGAUGAGCAGUCACGAGCCGCCACUGCUACAUUACAUUGUACUGCUUUGAAUGCAGUUUUCAUUGUUGCUUUUAUUUUGUUUUAUUUUACUCUAAUAUUGCUUUCUCUGUCUGUAUAUUUGAGUUUAAAUUGUAUUGUUUAUGUAUGCAACUUUUAAUAUUUGUGUAUUAUAUUAUUUUGUGAUUGUGAC